GUGCGGAGCCCGGGCCGGCGGUCCAGGGCUGUCCAGGGCUGUCCAGGGCGCCUUCGUGUCGCCCGGAGCACGCCUGCCUCCCGGCGUGUGUGUUGGGGGCCGGGGAGAUGGUGCACUGUGCUUCUGAUCCAGCUCCCCGCUAACGAGCCUGGGAAAGCAGCGGAGGAUGGCCCAAGGGCUUGGGCCCCUGCACCGACGUGGGAGACCCGGAUGGAGCUCCUGACCCAGCCCCCACCAUUUUGGCCAUUUGGAUGGAAGAUCUCUCUCUCUCCCCUUCUCUCUCUGUCAGUUUGCCUUUUAAAUAAUCGUAAAAUAAAACAUGUCGUUAGCCCUUG